rnacentral:rRNA from 1 species
UACGUAGGGGGCGAGCGUUGUCCGGAUUUAUUGGGCGUAAAGAGCUCGUGGGCGGCUUGUUGCGUCGACCGUGAAAACCCGCGGCUCAACUGCGGGCUUGCGGUUGAUACGGGCAGGCUGGAGUUCGGUAGGGGAGACUGGAAUUCCUGGUGUAGCGGUGAAAUGCGCAGAUAUCAGGAGGAACACCGGUGGCGAAGGCGGGUCUCUGGGCCGAUACUGACGCUGAGGAGCGAAAGCGUGGGGAGCGAACAGG